rnacentral:rRNA from 1 species
UUUACCAGCUAUCCCACCCUGAACUGCCCCGAUUUCGAUUGAUUUCAGAACUUAAACAGGGUCGAGCUAGUUAGUACUUGGAUAGAAAUUCUGAUCACCUCUAAUCUGCUACAU